CUAGACCAUUUUACUAAUUCACGGUCUUUGGGCCAAGGUUUUCCAAUAUGUGGGCUUUGAGUACUUAUAAGGAGAAACAUCAAAAAUAGCAAGCAAUAGGUUCGUAAAGGAGAUUGCUAUUUCCAUUACCAUGAAUUGAGUCUUGGGUAAGGAUAAAAUGCUUCCACAAGUAAAGAGUGUUCUCCAUUGGCUUGUCUUCC
rnacentral:lncRNA from 1 species